rnacentral:rRNA from 1 species
GACAGAGGUGGCAAGCGUUGUUCGGAAUUAUUGGGCGUAAAGGGCGCGUAGGUGGCCUCGUAAGUCGACUGUGAAAUCCCAGGGCUUAACCCUGGAAGUGCCAGCCGAUACUGCUUGGCUUGAGUCCCGGAGAGGGUGGUGGAAUUCCCAGGUGUAGAAGGUUGAAAUUCGGUAGAGUAUUGGGAAGGAACACCGGGUGGCCGAAGGCGAAGCCACCGUCGGAACCGG